rnacentral:lncRNA from 1 species
CAAACACUGCAGAAAAAGAAAUUAAUUCUACAUAUGAGUCUACUAGUUUACUGUUUCCAUUCAAGUUUUUCAGAAACAUUAUCUUACCUAACUCUGUUACUGUCAUAGUCAGUGGUGAAAGACUCUUUUUUCUUAGCGCCUCCCUUUUAAGAGAAGGUGGAUCAGUUCUGUUAAAAGAAAAUAUCUGACAUUAUUUUUGGACAUUGAAGUGACCAUUAAUUUUCCAGCCUGACUACUAGAACUCCCAGUUGGAAAAUGUUCUGGGGUAGACUUGUUGUUACAAACCAUGGGUGCUCAAAAAAUAGGAAUGGAAAAUCAGCAUCAUUAUGCAGCCUUUUCCCAGUGAGGUGGUAGGCAAUAAUUUAUUCUCAAGGGCUGGUCCUCCUGUGGCCUCUGGCAUUGGACUGCACUGAAGAAAGCAAAAGUUCAAGUGAAAAAGCUACUGAUGGCUAUUUAUGGAGCUCAGCGGAAAGACACUUGGUUCAACUGGAUGUUGUCAUAUUGAAGAUUCUGGGCCCAGCAGCAGUUGUACUCUUAAGCCUCUGAUGGCUGCAAAACCCCCUUCCUGGCUAAUGGUAGGACCUCACUAGGUCACUGAUCUGCCCAGGCUGGACUUGAUUUUGGGAACCUACUGCUUCAGACUCCCAAAGUGCUGGGAUUACGAGUGCUCACCAUCACACCUAGCUAAAGGUCAGUUCUUAUAUCCUCUCAUCUACUUGAUUCCUUAACCUUGCUUUUCCCUGGGCAUACAUAGUGUGUAUCUCAGUGUGUUUAGGCUGCUAUAAAAAAGUACCUCAGACUGGGUAAUUUAUAAACAACAGAAAUUUAUUUCUCAAAGUUCUGGAAGCAGAUUUGAUAUCUGGCAAGGGCUGUACUCUUCUUCCAAGAUGGUGCCUUCUGUGCUUUCUGGAGGGAAUAAAUUCUGUGUUCUCAUUUGGUAGAUGGAGUGGAAGGCAAAAAAGGAUGAACUCACUCCCUCAGGCCCUUAUGGGGCACUAAUCCUCACCAUGAGGGUUAAGUCCUCAUGGCCUAAUUACCUCCCAAAGGUCUCACCCAUUAAUACCGUCACUUUGAGGCUUAAGUUCCAAUAUGAAUUUUGAAGAGACACACACACACUCAACAUAGUCACACUUGGUAUCAAUAUCCAGUAUCGUCCUGCUCAUUCUGCACUGUAUUAAUCUCCAAGUAUUUAUUUUCUCUUGAAAAGCAAAGGUGUCACAGUGUUUGGAAACUUGUCUUACAGGCUUUAAAUCUGCUAGAAUGCUUAGCACAGACCUUUGUCUAUAGUCAUGUUUCAAAAUACAUUGAGUCUAAUUGAAUGGCAUCCUUUGCCAAGAGAAAAAAUUCUGUUUUUGUUUUACAAUUUGGGCAUCAAAUUGUGUAUGCAGGAGAAAUUGAAGCCAUGGGAGAAGCAAUUUCAACAAAGCCAAAAUUUGAUUGUGAGAGUUGCUUAUAUUUCAAUAUGUUUUUGAAUGAAAAUAUGUUGUUCAGUGGAUAAUUUGAAGUCCAAAUAAUUUCCUGGG